rnacentral:lncRNA from 1 species
AAAUAUACAAAAUUAUACAUAAACCUAGACUAUACCUGUAAAAGAACAAAAAUAAUGCCUGAAAAGGGGAACAAAAAAACAAAGAAGAAAGGGUCUGAAAAGGUGCAGAGCAGCAUAGACCCCCUAACGCUGUCUUCUUCAUCCCCCAACCAAAACGACCCCCUGAACUUCCUCUUCAAUCUACAGAGUAGAAGCUGGCGACCCCUAAACUCCAUCCUCUUCACGCCUUCAACCUAAAAAUAAAAGGUUGAGCACCUUCUUCUUCCAAAGAACAUGGAGUUGUGUUGCUUCUUCAUAAAAUGAGCUGAAAAACACGAAAAAAAGGAUACAGAAAAAUAGCCGCAGAUUUCUCUUCUGCUUUAAAAAGAAUGUUAGUCUUGGUUCUGUUCGUCAAUCCGGCAUCAAGGUGAAACUAGUUUCGAGGUCUAGUCGUAGUUCCGUCAAGGGCCAAUAAAUUUUCUGGUUAUGUUCUGUCGUAUUGUUCAUGUCCAGCUAUGGGUAUGUUCUGAUUGUUAAAUCUUACCUUUGUUUAUGGAUUUAUUGGAAGUGUCUUGUUAUGGUUGAAGGAGAAAAGGAAUAAAAAGACAUCAUUUUCAUAAAUGUGUGUUUGGUAAUAAUGUAUAUCUUUAGUAGUACAUGCUCUUAUGACUUCUGUUUUCUAAUUCCGUCAUUCGUGAUUCUUAUUUCUGAUUAAUAUGACAUCUUGCUAAGUAUCGAGUUGGAAAGGGCAGAUGUCAUUUUGAUUGGCUACUUACUGCAGCAUAAGCAAUUUGCUUCUAUUCUAUAACAAAAUCUUAGGUACAAGUAGUAAAAAGAAACUAAGAUGAAUUACCAGAAGCUAAUGAUAGGAGAUUCCUCUUUGAUAAGGUAGCUAUUGAUUUAGUAUCAAUCAUAUGGCCCUCGUAUUGAUUUCUUGGGAUUUAGAUAUAGAAUAACAAAUGUUCGUCCUUUGCUUUAGGCUUGUUUAAUAUACCAUUCCGGUAGUGGACACGUUCGCGUAAUAUGAUGGUGAUUUUUAAAACAAAACCGAAGUAUGUGUUCCCGCAACUUGGUCCAAACUUUCUUAAUAAUAAUAAAACAUUAUUAAUUGUGGACACGUUCGUGUGACAUGAUUUUUGACAUGCCGAACAAAUGGGUACACGUACGCGUAACCCGUUUCAAGAUAAUUUUCUUAAUUAAAAAGAGGUGAAAGGUAAUGCACAUAGGUUCUAAAAUGAGUAAUUAGAAAAUUUAACAAACCAAGUAUGAUCAAAGUGACUGUGCUAGAACCACGGAACUCGGGUACACCUUCUCCCAGGUUAACAAAAUUCCUUACCUGGAUUUCUGUGUUUGCAAACAGAAACAGAGUCAAAUAUUUCCUCGAUUCGGGAUUUAAACCGGUGACUUGAGACACCAUAAAUUAUCCCAAGUAGCGACUCUUAUUUUAACAAAGAAUAAUCCCGUUUCAAUUUUCACUUAAUUUGGAAAAAACUCUCUUCUACAUCUCUUUCGGGGUAUAGGCAAAAAAGGAGGUGUGACAAGUGAUAACCGUGUUUAUUGUCUGUUAUUAGCCAUUGCCGGGAGUUAUGAGACUAGUAGAAAAUUCAUGUUGUCUGUUUCGAUAAGGUUUGAUGUGAUUUGUGAGUAUUCUACAUUACAAAUUGUGAUUUCUAUGCUCCACCGGUGUGGGAGCCAAGCUGUGUUGUAAUUUUUAGGCGGAAUUGGUCUAGUGAGAGUCUCUAGAUAGGUUGAUGUGUACCCUACUUGUGAUUCAGUGUUGAGGGUGGGACCCUCGUGAUUUCAGGUAACUUCAUAUGUUGAGACCGGGCUGUGUACUGCGGUGAGGGUUAUAUCAGUAUAAGAUCCUUGUGAGUCUUUUACACGCUUUCAUUCUUUCUUGUUAGAAUGUUCUAUCGAUUAGUGUUUUAGAAAAAAACAAUUGUGCUAGUCUGACUUGUAUGGUAGUUCCCUUAUCCGUUUUCGCUUUCCAUAUUCAUUUAUUUUCGUUUUAUACUUCUUGAAUUUUAGUUGUGGGGUGUGUGACGUUGGUAUUAGCUGAGGUUUGGCUAUUCGGGUGUUUUGUUAUGUGGUUUUCGUGGUUAUUACAUCACCGCUAGUGUUGUGGAGGUUUGAAAAGAGUUCCUAUUGAAUAUGGGGAUUAUGGUAGGUACGGGUUUGAUCUCAGGCAAGUAUUGUUAUCAAAAAUAUUAUUGUGAGCCUAUGUGUGAUGUGUUAUGUUGUGUGGUUGUACCCGGUAUGUGUUCGCAAGAAUGGGAGUAGCUGGUUGAGACUGAUACCAUAUAUGGAUUUAGAAUCGGGCUUUGGGAAAUAGAUGGAAAGUGAGGAUUCUGGAUUAAAGGCUUAUUAGUAUGGCUAGAAAGGCUACAUUUCAGUUGAGAUGGCAUCGUCAUGCUUACGUGGAUUGGGGUGAUGUGGGAUCACCCUGGGGUGUAUGUUAGAAGUUCGCACUCUGUGACUUGAGGACUUCGAGGUGAAACUUAACACGUUCAAGGACGAACGUUGGUUUUAAGAGGGGGAGGAUAUAAUGACCUAACCAUUCGUUUUGAGAAAUUAAGCUCCGUUUAGCGGCAUAAGGUAUGGAACACCUUCAGAAUAUGAGUACCAACUUGCACGCAUGGUGGAAUUCGGUUUUCAAUGGUUUAGAGUCAAUUGGAAGAAGGAAUCUAGUUUUGGAAGUUUCAACGGUGAAAGGUUGACUGAAAUUAGUUUUGGAUAAACAACCCCGGAAUGGGUCAUGGAUGAUCUCAACAGCUUCAUAUGGUGAUUUUGAACUUAGGCGCAUGUCCGAAUUCAGAUUUGGAGGUCCGUGGAGUGAAUUGAGGCAUUUUGGCAAAAAUUGGAAAAGUCAAAGUUUGGGAAAUAAAGAAGUUUGACUCACAGUUGACUUUUGUGAUAUCGGAGACAGAAUGCAAUUCCGAGAGUUGGAGCUGCUCCGUUAUGUCAUUUUGGACGUGUCUGAAAAAUUUGGCGUCAUUCCGAGGUGAAUUGAUAGGUUUCGGCAUGAAAUUUGAUAUUUGAAGAUUUGGAAGUUCAAAAGCUUGAUUUUUGGUUUGAUUCGUCGAUUCGAUGUUGUUUUAUGUGAAUUAAAACUUUGAGCAAGUCUGUGUUAGGUUAUAUGAUUUGUGUGUGUCAUUAGAUGGGGUCCCGAGAGCCUCGGAUGUCUUUCGGAUGGGCUACAGAACACUUUCUCCUAUUUUUGAAUUGAUGUUGCUGCUUCUGGUAUCCCUCUAUUGCGUUCGCAAGCAGCCCUUCGCGCGCGAAGCCUUGUUAUUGACCACCUUGAAAUCCUUAUUCGCAUUCGCAUCUAUAGCCUCGCGUUCGCAAAGCUCUGCUUAAUUAAGCAUCGCAUACGCAUUUGAUCUCCUACAAUUGCAAAGGUCUAUAUUUCUUUACUUUGCGAUCACAUUUCUAGUUCCGCGUUCGCAUAGUAGGAAUUGGGAGUGGGGAAAUUGACCAUCCUUUCCUCUUCGCGUUCGCAGAAACCCAUCCGCCAUAGCAUAGGCCACCACCCCACUAUUCUUCGCGUUCGCAUCCUUAUUCACGUGAUCGCAAUGUGCAAUCUAGGCAGCCUCAAUAUUUCUUCUACGCGAUCGGACCCCUCUCCCGUGAUCACGGUGCACAAACACGUGGGCAGAAAAAAUAUAUCCCAAAUUCGAGGGCUUUUUUACCAUUUUUAUCAAAUUUUUGACUUCUAAAGCUCGGUUAUUGGCAAUUUUGAAGGGAUUUUCUCCUGGGCAACUUGGGUAUGUGCUUAUCACUCGGUUUAGACUAAUUUCCAUAAAUCUCCUCUUAAAUUCAUCCUUAAAAUUUUGAAUUUGAAUGAAAAUUUGGUAGAAAUUCUUAGGCCGAAUUAUUGAGCUUUGAUUGGGUUUUUGACAUCAGAUUUGAGAGAUUUUAAUGCGGUUAGACUCAUGAGAAUAUGAGGUUUAUAAAAACGUUAAUUUCACCCGAUUAUGAGACGUCAUGAGGGGCAUUUUGGUUAUUUUACCUAAUUUCACGUCUUAGCUUUGAAUAAAAUCAUAGUAUCACUUUCUUGAGAUGUUUUUUUACGAUAUGUAAUUGAAUUGAAUAGACUUGGGCCAUUGAGAGUCAAGUACUCAUGGCAAGAACGUGGUUUCUAGUUGAUUUUGAGCCGGUUUGAGGUAAGUAUCUUUCCUAAUCUUGUAUGGGGGAUUUCUCCUUAGGAUUUGAGUCUUCUCUGUUGAUUGUCUACCUUGUACGCGAGGUGACGAGUGCGUUCUCGGAUUUAUUUGUGGAAAUUUGCCCCUUUUAGGCUCUUAGAUCCUUGUAAUCACUAAGUAUGAAGUGUUCUUGAUAUGAUUAAGUUCUUGGUUACUAGUUUCACCUAUACAUAUCUUACUUGGAAUUUAAUUGCCCUUUUUGGUUUAUUUUCUUGCUGCCUAAUUGACCAUUACUUUGUUUAAUUGAAGAUCCCUACCUUUGCGUAGUCACAUUAUCUUUCUGCUUGCCUCUAUUUUGAAAUCAUUAGUAUCUUUCAUGUAAUUACUUGGUCAUAAUGGAGGUUACGAUUAUCUUCCCUCGGUUUAUCCUUAAUUGAAAUCGUUGUAUAUUCUUCGUAACUUGCCCAACUUUAAAGAUGUUAGAUAUCCUAUGUUUAGUUGAUAUUUCCUUACUUGAAAUUAUUUGAUUCAUGAUAACUUCCUUGUUGUUAAACUAAGUAUUAUGAUAUCGUUGCUUCAUAUUAUUUUUCUCUCUUGUUAAGUUGUUCUUAUUACGCUUAGUAUUUUCAAUUGUGGUUAUUCCUUGUGAGCUAGUCUUACCACUCCCAUGAACGAAGGAUUUUGAGUUAAUUCACUUGUUAUGCUCUUGUAUAUAUUCUAUUUUUUGCUGUUGUACUUGAUAUUGUUGAUGCACGAGGUUUCUGUUGUGCGGUUAUUGACAUUGUAAUGCACGAGUUUUUUACCGUGUGGUUAUUGAUAUUGUUAUGCACCAGGUUUCUGCCGUGCGGUUGUUGAUAUUGUGAUGCACGAGGUUUCUGUCGUGUGAUUAUUGAUAUUGUGACGCACGAGGUUUCUGCCGUGCAGUUGUUGAUGUUGUGAUGCACGAGAUUUCUGCCAUGCGAUUGUUGUUGAGGGUUCUCACGAGGUAUUUGUCGUGCUACUUUUGCUAUUCAUAUAUUGUACAUGCAGCGUAAUAAGGUGGGAUAUGUUCAUAUGCUUAUAUAGGGGUUGUGCGUGUGACGAAAUAAGGUGGGGAACAUUAUGAUGCACGUGUGGUGAAAUAAGGUGAUACUUAUUAUGUUAUUAAUUACACAUGUGGCGAAAUAAAGAAGGCUAUGUCAGGGAUUAAUUGUAAGGAUUGUGACGGCCUGUGGAGGCAUUUUUAUUUUUGUUUAAAUAUUUUAACUGUGUUUGCUUUCUUGUAUGAGCUUUAUCUUGUGUAUGUGGUGAAGGAACAUUGUGCUUGUUGCCCGCUCUUCUUAUCUUUAUUAGCUGGCAGGAAUCUUGAUAAAGUACUUGCACAAGCAUACACGUAGUUGAAACACUCCUAUUGGAGGUGAAGUUCCCCUAACUUGGCUAAGUAUAGUGGUACGUCCUCAUUUAAUCAUUAUAUAUGUGAGAGUGGCCCUAGUUGGCCAGUUAGUUGUCAGCAUAAUUGUGAGACUAAUGGGGCACAUGAUGCUAAGUGUUAUAUUUCAGACGCUAGAAUUUCGUGAGUUGUGGUUUGUCCAAGAUCUGGUAAAUUUGUGCAAAUAGUUGAAUUAGACCUUAUGUGAACAUCAUCGUAGAACAUGAGUUAUUAUUUUGUUUUCCCCUUAUUGUGUUGUGAUCUUAAGAGUUAGAUUGUGUUUUUGCCGUCAUUAUGUAUCAUCAUUUCUUAUAUUCUCGUUGUUACUUGUUGUUCUUUUCCCCUUGUUGUCAUUUUAGCAUUAUUGGUCACUCCGUGCCCUCUUUACAAAAAUAUAUGUAUAACAUUUCAGAUGUUCCUAUAAUUAUACUAUUUAUUUGACCGGUAGGUAUCUUGACUGUUCCUCAUCACUACUCCAUCGAGGUUAGUCUUGAUACUUACCGGACACCGAUAUGGUAUACUCAUGCUACUCUUCUGCACAGUUUUAUUGUGCAGAU